rnacentral:misc_RNA from 1 species
UCCGGUUUGGCACCGGCAGUCCUCCCAGAGUCCUCGCCAUGACGCGUUAGCAACUGGGAGCGGGGGUUGCGCUCGUUGCGGGACUUAACCCAACAUCUCACGACACGAGCUGACGACAGCCAUGCACCACCUGUUAUGGGCCCUUUCGGACACCGUAUCUCUACGGCUUUUCCCAUAAUGUCAAACCCAGGUAAGGUUCUUAGGGUCGCAUCGAAUUAAGCCGCAUGCUCCGCCGCUUGUGCGGGGACCCGUCAAUUCCUUUGAGUUUUAGCCUUGCGGCCGUACUCCCCAGGCGGAGUGCUUAACGCGUUAGCUACGGCGCCGCAGGGGUCAAUACCCGCGACACCUAGCACUCAUCGUUUACGGUGUGGACUAC